UUCCCUUCGGGGACAUUGGUGACAGGUGGUGCAUGGUUGUCGUCAGCUCGUGUCGUGAGAUGUUGGGUUAAGUCCCGCAACGAGCGCAACCCUUGUCUUUAGUUGCCAUCAUUAAGUUGGGCACUCUAGAGAGACUGCCAGGGAUAACCUGGAGGAAGGUGGGGAUGACGUCAAAUCAUCAUGCCCCUUAUGCUUAGGGCUACACACGUGCUACAAUGGGUAGUACAGAGGGUUGCCAAGCCGUAAGGUGGAGCUAAUCCCUUAAAGCUACUCUCAGUUCGGAUUGUAGGCUGAAACUCGCCUACAUGAAGCUGGAGUUACUAGUAAUCGCAGAUCAGAAUGCUGCGGUGAAGGCGUUCCCGGGUCUUGUACACCCCGCCCGUCACACCACGGGAGUUGGAGACGCCCGAAGCCGAUUAUCUAACCUGUUGGAAGAAGUCGUCGAAGGUGGAAUCAAUAACUGGGGUGAAGUCGUAACAAGGUAGCCGUAUCGGAAGGUGCGGCUGGAUCACCUCCUUUCUAAGGA
rnacentral:rRNA from 1 species